rnacentral:rRNA from 1 species
AGAGCGAACGCUGGCGGCAGGCCUAACACAUGCAAGUCGAGCGCCCCGCAAGGGGGAGCGGCAGACGGGAGAGUAACACGUGGGAACGUACCCUUCAGUUCGGAACAACCCAGGGAAACUUGGGCUAAUACCGAAUACGUCCGUAAGGAGAAAGAUUUAUCGCUGAAGGAUCGGCCCGCGUCUGAUUAGCUAAUUGGUGAGGUAACGGCUCACCAAGGCUACGAUCAGUAGCUGGUCUGAGAGGAUGAUCAGCCUCACUGGGACUGAGACACGGCCCAGACUCCUACGGGAGGCAGCAGUGGGGAAUAUUGGACAAUGGGCGCAAGCCUGAUCCAGCCAUGCCGCGUGGAUGAUGAAGGCCUUAGGGUUGUAAAGUCCUUUCGACGGGGAAGAUAAUGACGGUACCGUAGAAGAAGCCCGGCUAACUUCGCGCCAGCAGCCGC